rnacentral:rRNA from 1 species
AAUCAACGCUGGCGGCGUGCCUCAGACAUGCAAGUCGAACGAUUAAGACUUCCUUCGGGAAGUGCAUAAAGUGGCGCACGGGUGAGUAACACGUAAGUAAUCUACCCUCGAGUGGGGAAUAACGUUCGGAAACGAACGCUAAUACCGCAUAACGCAGCGGCACCGCAAGGUGACAGUUGUUAAAGGAGUAAUUCGCUUGAGGAGGAGCUUGCGGCAGAUUAGCUAGUUGGUAAGGUAACGGCUUACCAAGGCUACGAUCUGUAUCCGGUCUAAGAGGACGGUCGGACACACUGACACUGAAUAACGGGUCAGACUCCUACGGGAGGCAGCAGUCGGGAAUUUUGGGCAAUGGGCGAAAGCCUGACCCAGCAACGCCGCGUGAAGGAUGAAGUAUUUCGGUAUGUAAACUUCGAAAGAAUGGGAAGAAUAAAUGACGGUACCAUUUAUAAGCUCCGGCUAACUACGUGCCAGCCGCCGCCGUAACAC